CGGGAUAAACGCUGGGUGACAGUAAGAACGCAGUGAGAACGUCGAAGCAGCCGACAUCAAAUUUAGCAACGGUGUUAUAGUCUCCUAUCAACAGGUUGAUCUGUCACUUAUCUAUUUCGUCAACUUGUACCUUGGAGUGUGGUUCCUGAGGGCUCCAAGCAGAGAGAAGGAGAUCCUGUAGGAUACCUGUCGACAUACCUGCUGCUGUAUUCCCGCAAUUCUAAGGGGCGCACUCUGUAUGUUGUGAAUGGCGACAGCGAGGACUGGGGAGUGGAGCAGUGAAGCUGGGAACAGUCAAGAAAAAGCACGGGACUCUAGAUAUGCGUUAACAUCUAUUCGCUGUAUUAAAUCUAGCCGAAAUAAGCAGCAGCAAGC